rnacentral:rRNA from 1 species
AAAUUAGGGUUUGAUUCCGGAGAGGGAGCCUGAGAAAUGGCUACCACGUCUAAGGAUGGCAGCAGGCGCGCAAAUUACCCAAUCCUGAAACAGGGAGGUAGUGACAGAAAAUAGCAACACAAAGCAUUCGCUUUUUGAUUGCAAUGUGGAUCUUCCAAAUUUUGCUUCGAGAAUCAAUUGGAGGGCAAGUCUGGUGCCAGCAGCCGCGGUAAUUCCAGCUCCAAUAGCGUAUAUUAAAGUUGUUGCAGUUAAAAAGCUCGUAGUUGUUAGGGUUGGGAAAUUUGAAGAAUCUUCACUGGUCUUCAGACUUCCUAAAAGCUGUUUUAAUCGGCUUUGUGUUACUUUGAGAAAAUUUGAGUGUUCAUCUCGGGCAAAUUGCUUACAUAAUGUACCAUGGAAUAACUCUGUGGCCCUAAUUCUGUCUUUUGGCUUACAUUAUUGGGGUUCGUGGUUGAAAGGAAUAGUUGGGGGCAUUCGUACUGAACAGUUAGAGGUGAAAUUCUUAGAUUUGUUCAAGACGAACCAGUGCGAAAGCAUCUGCCAAGGAUGUUUUCAUUAAUCAAGAACGAAAGUUAGGGGAUCGAAGACGAUCAGAUACCGUCGUAGUCUUAACUGUAAACAAUGCCGACUAGAGAUCGGUGGAAUUCGAUUGGAAUCCUUCGGCAUCUACAGAGAAAUCAAAGUUCUUGGGUUCUGGGGGGGAGUAUGGUCGCAAGGCUGAAACUUAAAGGAAUUGACGGAAGGGCACCACCAGGAGUGGAGCCUGCGGCUUAAUUUGACCCAACACGGGAAAACUUACCAGGUCCGGACAUAGGUAUGAUUGACAGACUGAGAGCUCUUUCUUGAUUCUAUGGGUGGUGGUGCAUGGCCGUUCUUAGUUGGUGGAUUGAUUUGUCUGGUUGAUUCCGACAACGAACGAGACCUUUACUUUCUAAUUAGAUCCAAGACAUACGUGUUUCCUGGGUCGCCUUAGCAGAACUUUGUGCGUUGCAGCACAAUGAAGCACAGGCAAUAACAGGUCUGUGAUGCCCUUAGAUGUUCUGGGCUGCACGCGUGCUACAAUGAAACUUACCAUAAGUUGCGAUGUCGAAAAGCUAUGCAAAUCUUUGAAUGCGUUUCGUGACAGGGACAGUUGAUUGUAAUUUUUCGACUCGAACGAGGAAUUCCUUGUAAUCGUGAUUCAUCAUAUCGCGCUGAAUACGUCCCUGCCCUUUGUACACACCGCCCGUCGCUCCUACCGAUUGGGCGAUCCGGUGAAUUAUUUGGAGUUUUGACGAUUUCUUUCGGAAACCUGCCAAUUCAAAUUUUUGUGAACCUUAUUGCUUAGAGGAAGGAAAAGUCGUAACAAGGUU